AUUCUUCUGCAUCCGUGCUGAGAUUUGGUCACACAUCAGACCACAGGGGCUGAUGAGACUCCCAAGACAAGUCACGCG
rnacentral:pre_miRNA from 1 species